rnacentral:rRNA from 1 species
UAGGGAAUCUUCGGCAAUGGACGAAAGUCUGACCGAGCAACGCCGCGUGAGUGAAUAAGGUUUUCGGAUCGUAAAACUCUGUUGUUAGAGAAGAACAAGGACGUUAGUAACUGAACGUCCCCUGACGGUAUCUAACCAGAAAGCCACGUCUAACUACGUGCCAGCAGCCGCGGUAAUACGUAGGUGGCCAGCGUUGUCCGGAUUUAUUGGGCGUAAAGCGAGCGCAGGCGGUUUCUUAAGUCUGAUGUGAAAGCCCCCGGCUCAACCGGGGAGGGUCAUUGGAAACUGGGAGGCUUGAGUGCGGAAGAGGAGAGUGGAAUUCCAUGUGUAGCGGUGAAAUGCGUAGAUAUAGGGAGGAACACCAGUGGCGAGGGCGGCUCUCUGGUCUGUAACUGACGCUGAGGAUCGAAAGCGUGGGGAGCAAACAGG